rnacentral:rRNA from 1 species
GGGCUUCGGCUCUGGGGACAGCGGCGAACGGGUGAGUAACACGUGGGUAAUCUGCCCUCGGCAUCGGGAUAGCCCGGGGAAACCCGGAUUAAUACCGAAUAGCCUCUCAAGCUUUCGAGCUCGUGAGAAAAGGUAGCUUUGGCCUCCGGCCGAGGAGGAGCCCGCGGCGGAUUAGCUUGUUGGUGAGGUAAAGGCUCACCAAGGCGACGAUCCGUAGCUGGUCUGAGAGGACGAUCAGCCACACUGGGACUGAGACACGGCCCAGACUCCUACGGGAGGCAGCAGUGGGGAAUCUUGCCCAAUGGGCGAAAGCCUGAGGCAGCGACGCCGCGUGCGGGAAGAAGGCCUUCGGGUUGUAAACCGCUUUCAGGAGGGACGAAGCCACUCGGGUUAAUAGCCCAGAGGGUGACGGUACCUUCAGAAGAAGCCCCGGCCAACUACGUGCCAGCAGCCGCGGUAAUACGUAGGGGGCGAGCGUUGUCCGGAUUUAUUGGGCGUAAAGAGCGUGUAGGCGGCUAGGUAGGUCCGCUGUGAAAACUCGAGGCUCAACCUCGAGAGGUCGGUGGAAACCACCUGGCUAGAGUCCGGAAGAGGAGAGUGGAAUUCCCGGUGUAGCGGUGAAAUGCGCAGAUAUCGGGAAGAAUAUCCGUGGCGAAGGCGGCUCUCUGGUACGGCACUGACGCUGGU